rnacentral:rRNA from 1 species
UGAGUAAUCUGCCCUCCACUUUGGGAUAGCCACCGGAAACGGUGAUUAAUACCGGAUAUGACCUCGGCCCGCAUGGGUUGUGGUGGAAAGUUUUUCGGUGGGGGAUGUGCUCGCGGCCUAUCAGCUUGAUGGUGGGGUAAUGGCCUACCAUGGCUUCGACGGGUAGCCGGCCUGAGAGGGCGACCGGCCACACUGGGACUGAGACACGGCCCAGACUCCUACGGGA